UUUAAUAUAGCAUAAUAUUAAUGCGAAGAGUUUAAGCCUCUUAGAUUUUUAUUAAAA
rnacentral:tRNA from 1 species